GACGAACGCUGGCGGCGUGCUUAACACAUGCAAGUCGAACGGAAAGGCCUGUGCUUGCACGGGUACUCGAGUGGCGAACGGGUGAGUAACACGUGGGUGAUCUGCCCUUCACUUCGGGAUAAGCCUGGGAAACUGGGUCUAAUACUGGAUAGGACCAUCGUUUAGUGUCGGUGGUGGAAAGUUUUUCGGUGGAGGAUGAGCUCGCGGCCUAUCAGCUUGUUGGUGGGGUAAUGGCCUACCAAGGCGACGACGGGUAGCCGGCCUGAGAGGGUGGACGGCCACAUUGGGACUGAGACACGGCCCAGACUCCUACGGGAGGCAGCAGUGGGGAAUCUUGCACAAUGGGCGGAAGCCUGAUGCAGCGACGCCGCGUGAGGGAUGACGGCCUUCGGGUUGUAAACCUCUUUCGCUAGGGAAGAAGCCGCUUUGUGGUGGUGACGGACCUGAUAAGAAGCACCGCA
rnacentral:rRNA from 1 species